rnacentral:rRNA from 1 species
GUCUAUGGCCACACCGCCCUGAACAAGCCAGGCCUCAUCUGAUCCCAGAAGCUAAGUAGGGUUGGGUCUCCUCAGUUCGAGGAUGGAAGAAUUUUAUCAUAUAAGCUGGGCUUCAUAUGAGUUGGAGUUCAGGGACC